CCUACGGGUGGCUGCAGUGGGGGAUAUUGCACAAUGGGGGAAACCCUGAUGCAGCGACGCCGCGUGGGUGAAGAAGCGCCUAGGCGCGUAAAGCCCUGUCAGCAGGGAAGAAAAUGACGGUACCUGAAGAAGAAGCCCCGGCUAACUCCGUGCCAGCAGCCGCGGUAAUACGUAGGGGGCAAGCGUUAUCCGGAUGUACUGGGUGUAAAGGGGGCGCAGUCGGCGAUGCAAGCCAGGAGUGAAAGCCCGGGGCCCAACCCCGGGACUGCUCUUGGAACUGCGUGGCUAGAGUGCAGGAGGGGCAGGCGGAAUGCCUGGUGUAGCGGUGAAAUGCGUAGAUAUCAGGAGGAACACCGGUGGCGAAGGCGGCCUGCUGGACUGCAACUGACGUUGAGGCCCGAAAGCGUGGGGAGCAAACAGGAUUAGAUACCCGAGUAGUC
rnacentral:rRNA from 1 species